UGGGGAAUAUUGGGCAAUGGGCGCAAGCCUGACCCAGCAACGCCGCGUGAAGGAAGAAGGCUUUCGGGUUGUAAACUUCUUUUCUGAGGGACGAUAGUGACGGUACCUCAGGAAUAAGCCACGGCUAACUACGUGCCAGCAGCCGCGGUAAUACGUAGGUGGCAAGCGUUAUCCGGAUUUACUGGGUGUAAAGGGCGUGUAGGCGGGAUGGUAAGUCAGAUGUGAAAACUAUGGGCUCAACCCAUAGCCUGCAUUUGAAACUAUCGUUCUUGAGUGUUGGAGAGGCAGGCGGAAUUCCGUGUGUAGCGGUGAAAUGCGUAGAUAUACGGAGGAACACCAGUGGCGAAGGCGGCCUGCUGGACCGAAACUGACGUUGAGGCUCGAAAGCGUGGGGAGCAAACAGG
rnacentral:rRNA from 1 species